rnacentral:ncRNA from 1 species
AUUUGGCUCCUUUUUUUCUGAGAGUGUAAGGAUUGGCUCUGAGGACUGAGCCGGUCGGGCUGGGGACCUGAAGCAGGAACGGCACUGCACCGGGACUGGGCGGGGCUCGCCGUUCACGCGGCGCGGCCAAGCCCGGACCAGCGUCGGGACCUUCCUGUGGAAAGCCUCAGCUGCGGGGCGUCCGAGGGCUUCGUGCCCAAAGUGCUAUGCUUCGGCCGGCAAAAAACAGUCAACUCAGAACUGGCACGGACCGGGGGAAUCCGACUGUCUAAUUAAAACAAAGCAUUGCGAUGGCCGCUGGUCGGUGUUGACGCAAUGUGAUUUCUGCUCAGUGCUCAGAAUGUCAUCGUGAAGAGAUUCAUCAAAGCGCGGGUAAACGUCGGGAGUAACUAUUUGGGACGUAAGCCUGCGGGGUGUAAUGCCAUGCUCGAAGUCAACCUCCACGUGCUCGUCGUACGUCCAGCCAAUCGGGGAGCUCGUUCUCCCAAUUGCAACGAGGGCUCUGGCGACCUUUCGGGGAGAACUGGGUUGCCUGUCCGUCUCCCUUAAAUCCACUUUGCGCGAAAAAUGAAAAGAAACA